rnacentral:misc_RNA from 1 species
CACCUGUUUUCUAAUGGUUCCUUGUCUCUUGUAUUCUUUCAGAUAUAUUGCAACUCCGAUUGGGAAAAGUUUGGGCAUUCGGGAAAUUAAUCACCGGAAACCAUCUCCAUGCAUUUAUUUAGAGGAAGCUUUCAAGAAAAGCAGAACCCCCAGCCACCAGGCGUUAGAAAGUUAUUCAAAGAAAUUAGAUCUUUCAGUAAGACAGAUCCAACGCUGGUUUCGUCUUCGAAGGAAUCAAGACAAAGCAAACACGCUAACUAGAUUUACAGAAUCCUGCUGGAGAUUCACUUACUAUUUAACCAUAUUGAUAAUUGGUACUAUAAUAUUGUAUAAUAAAGUCUGGUUUUGGGAUUCAACAGAAUGCUGGCCGAAUUACCCGCAUCAGCAUGUGCCUUCAGAAAUCUAUUGGUACUACCUUGUCGAGCUGUCUUACUAUGUUGGUUCCAGCCUCAUGCAUUUCACCGAUGUUCGCAAGAAGGACUUCUGGGAACUCUUCAUCCACCAUAUUGUUACCAUGACAUUGAUGUUUAUUGCCUGGAUCCAAAACAUUAUCCGAAUAUCUUGUCUCAUCCUCCUUGUUCACGAUAUGGCUGAUCCGUUCCUCGAAGCUACCAAGAUGGCCAGCUACUCCGGACACCGCAAAUGGUGUAACCACCUGUUCAUUGUAUUCACAAUUGCCUGGUAUAUAGGACGCCUCUACAUUUUCCCUUUCAAGAUUCUCUACAGCACAUUGUUCUACGCACCAACUGUGACUGGUAUGGCCCCUAUCUACUACUUGUACAACGGGCUUCUUGGGUCCCUACAGCUGCUGCACAUUAUAUGGACCAUCAUCAUCACAAAGAUACUCUACAAUCGUUUAAAGACCGGCGAGAUAAAAAAAGAUGAGCGCAGUGAGAGCGAAGAGGCAGUGAGCGACACAGAAACAGAAACCGCACAGAAAACUGCGGUCAACAACUGCACAUAAGAUGCGCAAGACGAUGGUGCAGCAGUACUCCCAAGAGGUGUGAGCGUGUGUGUGCGUGUGCGUGUGUUUGUGUGUGUGUUUGUGUGUGCGUGUGUUUGUAGGUGGACUGGGUGGGCAGAGGUCGAGGUGUGGAGGGUAGGAGUGGAGGAGAGGAAACGGAAGAGGAUGGACACGAUGAUGAGGAUGCUUUUUGUGGGGUGUUGAUGACGAUGACGGUGGUGAUGCUGACGGCGACGAUGGAGAGGAUGGUGAGGGUGAUGCUGUCUACGUUGAUGCUGGUGAUGAUGGUUUUUAUCAUUGAAAGUAUCUACCAUAAACUGCUGGGCGGGGGGGGGAGAGAGAGGGAGAGCAAUAGACAGAGAAUGGAGAGAGGUGGGGGUAGAAACGGCCGUAGGGGAGAAAAAACAGAAAGAGGAUGAUGAAAGGGGGGGAAAGAGAGUAGGAAGAGAGUGGGUGUGUGUUAAGGGAAAAAGAGAGAGUAAAGACCAAUGAGAGGAAGGGGGAGAGAGAGAGAGAGUGAAGACAAUUGAUAGAGGAGGGAAGAAUAUGAGCUAAUGAGGGAGGGGGAGGAUGAUGACUGAUGGGAGAGGGAGGAGGAGAGAAUGGAGGGAAUGAUAGAUAAUUAAAAAAAAAUUUUUCCCUCGUUAAUUUAAUUAUUUUAGAUUAUGAUUUUUUCAUUUCUUUAAAAUAUUUAAAACUAUUUAGAGGGUACAGUGUGAGAACUGGAGGACAUAAACAUGGUGUGGGAGUGAGGAACAAGUUAUGGUGUGGUGGCCAUGGGAAGAGGUGUGUUGUGGCAGUUAGGACAAGUUGUGUGAUAGUGAGGACAUGCUGUGUAGCGGUUAGGACAUAUUGUAUACUAUAGAGCUGCGUGAUUCAAGGACAUGUACAGCAAUUAGGACAAACUGUAUGUUAUAGAGUUGUGAUAGGGAGGACAUGUGUAGAAAUUAGGACAAAUUGUAUGUUAUAGAGAUGUGAUAGGGAGGACAUGUUUGUGUAGCAAUUAGGACAAACUGUAUGUUACAGAGAUGUGAUAAGGACAUGUGUAGAAAUUAGGACAAAUUGUAUGUUAUAGAGAUGUGAUAGGGAGGACAUGUUUGUGUAGCAAUUAGGACAAACUGUAUGGUAUAGAGUUGUGACAGGGAGGACAUGUGUAGCAAUUAGGACAAAUUUGUGCGAGUGUUGUGUGGCAGUUAGGACAUAUGUGAUGCAGAUAUUAGGACAUCGUGUGUAGUGCAUAAUGAAAUGUAGUUUUGCAGUGUGAGCCUGUUGGCCUGGGGACUUAGCUGUCUGUAACAACCAGGGUCUUGAACAUACCAUUCUGUAUCAGUCUGCGAUGCAUUGUUGCACCGUAUCCUGCAUGUUGCAGCUAUAUUCUGUGUACAUGGAUGCACAAUCAAAUUACACUACACUGCACAUGGUGCAGAGUAGCUGCAGCUGGGAUGGUACGUCGCUUGAAGCGAAUGCCGGUGUGGGUUGCAUUUCACCUGCUGUCCAGUUUGGUCUUGGGUGAUUCAGUGAUGUUCAUCAUGGUCCAGUUAACAUCUUCCUAAUUAAUUAAUACCUUUGCAACAUAUUACUGCAUUUCCUCUCUCCCUCUGUCUCCACCUCCACCCCCUCUUCUCCGCCUCUGCCUCUCCUCCUCCUCUCUCUUUCUCUCUCUCUCUCCCCCUCUACUGCUCUUUCAUUAUCCCUCUCCUCCCCCUACCACUCAUUAUUUACAAUUUCAUUAUGUUGGGUAUUUUUUUUUUCCAUUUAAAAAAAUUUUUAAUAUUUAAAAUAUAAAUGAAAAAAAUCCAUUGUUACCACCACCACCACACCACCACCACUACCACUGCUACUACUAUUGCUGCUGCUACUACUAUUUAUGCCGUGGAUUGGUUGAGUUGGUAGAGCAAUGGACAAAAAUACUUUUCACUAUUUUAGUUACAGGCCUUUACAUUCUAAGUUCAAAUCCCGCCGAGGUCAACUUUGCCUUUCAUCCCUCCAGAGCCGAUAAAAUAAAGUACCAGUGAUGUACCGGGGUCUUUGUAAUCAACUAAUGCCCUUCCCCCAAAUUUCUGACCUCGCACCUAUUCUAGAAAGCAUUAUUAUUAUUAUUAU